CUUAGGAUGAACGCUAGCGACAGGCCUAACACAUGCAAGUCGAGGGGCAGCACAAGGAGCAAUCUGAGGUGGCGACCGGCGCACGGGUGAGUAACACGUAUGCAACCUGCCUGUAAGCGGGGAAUAACCCGUUGAAAGACGGACUAAUACCGCAUAAUACUAAAUUACUGCAUGGUAAUUUAUUUAAACAUUUAUGGCUUACAGAUGGGCAUGCGCAUGAUUAGCUAGUUGGAGAGGUAACGGCUCCCCAAGGCAACGAUCAUUAGGGGUUCUGAGAGGAAGGUCCCCACACUGGUACUGAGACACGGACCAGACUCCUACGGGAGGCAGCAGUGAGGAAUGUUGGUCAAUGGACGAGAGUCUGAACCAGCCAAGUCGCGUGCAGGAAGAAUGUCCUAAUGGAUUGUAAACUGCUUUUGCAGGGGAAUAAAGUGCAUCACGUGUGAUGUUUUGUAUGUACUCUGCGAAUAAGGAUCGGCUAACUCCGUGCCAGCAGCCGC
rnacentral:rRNA from 1 species